CUGUUACACGGUCUGUUAAUUGCUAAGCAGAUCCAUAGCUUGGGUAUGUGGAUUGUUUUCCUGGCCAGGUUGCUGUCCAUUUCCUAGCAGCCAUGGCGACACACUGCGAAAUUCAUGCCAAGUCCUCGCGGGUUGCUGGAACGGUUGCACAGGGCCAUGGUAGAGCCUUACAGUUUACAAGAUGCUUUCCCGGGCAACACUUUCAGGGACCAUUGGCUGUAUCUAAGUGGGGAGAACAGAUGACGUCUGCCCAGUGCUGGUGGCCAUCCAUACAGCAAGCUGGGAGUCUCAGGAGAAUGGAGCCAUUGGAAGUGGAGUGCAACUCGGUUGAGUAAACAGAUUUCCUUCUUCCCAAAUGAUUUACUGUUCCAGCCUGACCUCCAGAGAAACAGCAGAUGCCAUGGCUUCUAUACUCCUGAUUUGGCGUGCCAUUUUCCUGGAACACCACUGCUGCAACCUGCCUCCCUGCCUCCUCAGCUCCCUCAAGGAACGUUCCUGAGAUUGACUACUGUGUGUGACUCCCGGUUCCUCCUUCCCCACUUCAGUCUCGGGAAUUCAGUGCCCUUGUUCCCCACUUGCUUUUAUCACUCACCUCUUUUUAUAAUAAUCAGCAUGGAGGAAUGUUAAUAUUCUGACCCACCCCUUGAAAUCCAGCCCCUUGGGGCCUCCCCUUCCUCAUUCUCUCUCUCUUCACUUUCAUGAGGUGUGCACCCCUUGACCCUCACUUUUCUCUCUCUUUCCUAUUUUCUUUUCAUCUCUCUGUUAUAAUAAACCAUUUUCACAUGGA